CAGCAGCCACGGGAAUACGUAGGUGGCAAGCGUUGUCCGGAAUUAUUGGGCGUAAAGGGCUCGCAGGCGGUUUCUUAAGUCUGAUGUGAAAGCCCCCGGCUCAACCGGGGAGGGUCAUUGGAAACUGGGAAACUUGAGUGCAGAAGAGGAGAGUGGAAUUCCGCGUGUAGCGGUGAAAUGCGUAGAGAUGUGGAGGAACACCAGUGGCGAAGGCGACUCUCUGGUCUGUAACUGACGCUGAGGAGCGAAAGCGUGGGGAGCGAACAGGAUUAGAUACCCGCGUAGUCCCUGUCUCUUAUAC
rnacentral:rRNA from 1 species